rnacentral:rRNA from 1 species
UGGGGAAUUUUGGACAAUGGGCGCAAGCCUGAUCCAGCCAUGCCGCGUGCGGGAAGAAGGCCUUCGGGUUGUAAACCGCUUUUGUCAGGGAAGAAAUCUUCUGAGUUAAUACCUCGGGAGGAUGACGGUACCUGAAGAAUAAGCACCGGCUAACUACGUGCCAGCAGCCGCGGUAAUACGUAGGGUGCAAGCGUUAAUCGGAAUUACUGGGCGUAAAGCGUGCGCAGGCGGUUUUGUAAGACAGAGGUGAAAUCCCCGGGCUCAACCUGGGAACUGCCUUUGUGACUGCAAGGCUUGAGUGCGGCAGAGGGGGGAUGGAAUUCCGCGUGUAGCAGUGAAAUGCGUAGAUAUGCGGAGGAAACACCGAUGGCGAAGGCAAUCCCCUGGGCCUGCACUGACGCUCAUGCACGAAAGCGUGGGGAGCAAACAGGAUUAGAUCCCUGGUAGUCCACGCCCUAAAACGAUGUCAACUGGUUGUUGGGGAAGGUUCCUUCUCAGUAACGUAGCUAACGCGUGAAGUUGACCGCCUGGGGAGUACGGCCGCAAGGUUGAAAC